rnacentral:rRNA from 1 species
CGAACCUGCGAAGGCAAGCGGAUCUCUUAAAGCCGUUCUCAGUUCGGACUGUAGGCUGCAACUCGCCUACACGAAGCUGGAAUCGCUAGUAAUCGCGGAUCAGCACGCCGCGGUGAAUACGUUCCCGGGCCUUGUACACACCGCCCGUCACACCAUGAGAGUCUGUAACACCCAAAGCCGGUGGGAUAACCUUUAUUAGGAGUCACGCCGUCUAAGGUAGGACAGAUGAUUAGGGUGAAGUCGUAACAAGGUAGC